rnacentral:rRNA from 1 species
UACGUAGGGGGCAAGCGUUGUCCGGAAUUACUGGGCGUAAAGCGUGCGCAGGCGGUUUUAUAAGUCUGUCGUGAAAGCCCCGGGCUCAACCUGGGAAUUGCGAUGGAGACUGCAAGGCUUGAAUCUGGCAGAGGGGGGUAGAAUUCCACGUGUAGCAGUGAAAUGCGUAGAGAUGUGGAGGAACACCGAUGGCGAAGGCAGCCCCCUGGGUCAAGAUUGACGCUCAUGCACGAAAGCGUGGGGAGCAAACAGG